CCUCCUGCAAACACCAACGUAUAGGAGGUCUCACCUGCCCAGUGACAAGUUAAACGGCCGCGGUAUUUUGACCGUGCGAAGGUAGCGCAAUCACUUGUCUUUUAAAUGAAGACCUGUAUGAAUGGUAGAACGAGGGCUUAACUGUCUCCCUUUUUAAGUCAGUGAAAUUGAUCUGCCCGUGCAGAAGCGGGCAUAAUAAUACAAGACGAGAAGACCCUUUGGAGCUUAAGACUCCAGAUCAAUUAUGUCAAGAACUAAACCAAGUUAAACCAAAUAACACCUGAUCCUAGUCUUUAGUUGGGGCGACCGCGGGAGAAAACAAAGCUCCCAUGAGGACUGGACUCCCUCCAGAACCAAGAAAGACAUCUCUAAGUCACAGAACUUCUGACCAUAAAGAUCCGGCCACCCGCCGACCAACGGACCAAGUUACCCUAGGGAUAACAGCGCAAUCCCCUUUCAGAGUCCAUAUCGACAAGGGGGUUUACGACCUCGAUGUUGGAUCAGGACAUCCUAAUGGUGCAGCCGCUAUUAAGGGUUCGUUUGUUCAACGAUUAAAGUC
rnacentral:rRNA from 1 species